AACCGCAUGGUUCAAAAGUGAAAGACGGUCUUGCUGUCACUUAUAGAUGGAUCCGCGCUGCAUUAGCUAGUUGGUAAGGUAACGGCUUACCAAGGCAACGAUGCAUAGCCGACCUGAGAGGGUGAUCGGCCACACUGGAACUGAGACACGGUCCAGACUCCUACGGGAGGCAGCAGUAGGGAAUCUUCCGCAAUGGGCGAAAGCCUGACGGAGCAACGCCGCGUGAGUGAUGAAGGUCUUCGGAUCGUAAAACUCUGUUAUUAGGGAAGAACAUAUGUGUAAGUAACUGUGCACAUCUUGACGGUACCUAAUCAGAAAGCCACGGCUAACUACGUGCCAGCAGCCGCGGUAAUACGUAGGUGGCAAGCGUUAUCCGGAAUUAUUGGGCGUAAAGCGCGCGUAGGCGGUUUUUUAAGUCUGAUGUGAAAGCCCACGGCUCAACCGUGGAGGGUCAUUGGAAACUGGAAAACUUGAGUGCAGAAGAGGAAAGUGGAAUUCCAUGUGUAGCGGUGAAAUGCGCAGAGAUAUGGAGGAACACCAGUGGCGAAGGCGACUUUCUGGUCUGUAACUGACGCUGAUGUGCGAAAGCGUGGGGAUCAAACAGGAUUAGAUACCCUGGUAGUCCACGCCGUAAACGAUGAGUGCUAAGUGUUAGGGGGUUUCCGCCCCUUAGUGCUGCAGCUAACGCAUUAAGCACUCCGCCUGGGGAGUACGACCGCAAGGUU
rnacentral:rRNA from 1 species